ACGCUAGCGGCAGGCCUAAUACAUGCAAGUCGAACGGUAACAUUGGUGCUUGCACCAGAUGACGAGUGGCGCACGGGUGCGUAACGCGUAUGCAACCUACCUUUUACUAGAGUAUAGCCCAGAGAAAUUUGGAUUAAUCCUCUAUAACAUCUUUUAAUCUCCUGAUUUUAAGAUUAAAGUUUUAACGGUAAAAGAUGGGCAUGCGUCCUAUUAGUUUGUAGGUGAGGUAACGGCUCACCUAGACUACGAUAGGUAGGGGCCCUGAGAGGGGGAUCCCCCACACUGGUACUGAGACACGGACCAGACUCCUACGGGAGGCAGCAGUAAGGAAUAUUGGACAAUGGACGAAAGUCUGAUCCAGCCAUGCCGCGUGCAGGAUGACAGCCCUACGGGUUGUAAACUGCUUUUAUACAGGAAGAAACACUCCGACGUGUCGGAGCUUGACGGUACUGUAAGAAUAAGGA
rnacentral:rRNA from 1 species